CACGAAUGCCCCAAGCGUUAUCCGGAAUCACUGGGCGUACAGGGUCCGCAGGCUGCCGUAUUAGUCCCGCGUUAAAUCGUGAUGCUCAACAUCACGGCUGCGCUGGAAACGGUACGGCUCGAGGAUGUGAGGGGUGUGCGGAACCGACGGUGUAGGGGUGAAAUCCGUUGAUAUCGUCGGGAACACCAAAAGCGAAAGCAGCACACUGGCGCAUUCCUGACGCUCAUGGACGAAAGCCAGGGUGGCGAACCGG
rnacentral:misc_RNA from 1 species